CCUACGGGCGGCAGCAGUGGGGAAUAUUGGACAAUGGGGGCAACCCUGAUCCAGCCAUGCCGCGUGUGUGAAGAAGGCCCUCGGGUUGUAAAGCACUUUCAGUGAGGAAGAACGCCUGGUGGUUAAUACCCAUCAGGAAAGACAUCACUCACAGAAGAAGCACCGGCUAACUCCGUGCCAGCAGCCGCGGUAAUACGGAGGGUGCGAGCGUUAAUCGGAAUUACUGGGCGUAAAGCGCGCGUAGGUGGCUUGAUAAGCCGGUUAUGAAAGCCCCGGGCUCAACCUGGGAACGGCAUCCGGAACUGUCAAGCUAGAGUGCAGGAGAGGAAGGUAGAAUUCCCGGUGUAGCGGUGAAAUGCGUAGAGAUCGGGAGGAAUACCAGUGGCGAAGGCGGCCUUCUGGACUGACACUGACACUGAGGUGCGAAAGCGUGGGUAGCAAACAGGAUUAGAUACCCCAGUAGUC
rnacentral:rRNA from 1 species